GAAGUAAUAUUAGCUUCAAUGUCUUUAAUGUCUUCUAACAACUCUCCCUUCAACUUCUCCGACCCCUUUAAUGUCCAUCUGUUUUUUCAUUCUUUCUUUGCUACAUACAUUUAUUUCCCUCUGACAACUCUUCCUCUUCAGCUCCUUCCUUUAAUAUCAAUGGUGGCGGUGGAGAGCAUGGUGAACAGUUGCGAUUGCUACGACUGCAGUGGGAUGGGUCACAUGGCUUGGGAUUGUAAUCAAGGAGGCAUGUAUGGCAGUGAUGGUAGACGCAAAUCUGCUACAACUAUGGAGAUUCUAGAUAUUUUGCAAUGGACUGCCCAACAAGCUCUUUGAAAACAAGUCGCAUUGCAAUAAACAUUGAGGUAGGAGUUAUGGCAGUGGAUGAGGUGGCGACCGCUAUGGUGGUGGAGCAGAAUAUGGAGGUGGUGGUUAUCAAUGUGGUGGUGGUGGAUUCAAAGGAGAAGACAGUUGAAUAGAAUAGAUCGGUGGCAAAAACUGAGCAGCCAUAAUUUAUAGCACAUGCAGCAAGACUAGGAAAGCAUAAAGCACAUUAGCGACGUGUAAGGAGUAAAAUAAAGAUAAUACCGGAGCCUAUUGGACAUCCUUCUGAGAUCCCAAAGUGAAACUAUGAUGGAUCUGGCCAGAUAGACAACAGGUGCAGAUAGUGAAAUAUUCUGAUAUUUUUUAAUUUGUCCAGUCCUAAAAAAUCUUCAAAGAUCCUUUUCGGGGUGGUGAUAAUAUGUUGGUAAGAGCUGUUAUGUGCCUUAUAUCUCUAAGAAAUGUGAUGGCAAUGACAUGUUGACUGAAUUUGUAUUAUUAUGUUUGUGAUUCUGCUUGAUUGU